rnacentral:misc_RNA from 1 species
UGACGUUCAAGCAAAUCAAAUUGCUCAUCCAGAAGACGACGAACUCGCGGCUUCUCACCAGCAAAAUCAUUACCUACUUCUUCUUCUUUCUCUACAUUGCCAUUAUCCACUGCGAUUUCUUGAUUGCCAGAAGCCACAUAAUCAUUGGAUUCAUCAAUUAAAUUCAACUUCUUAUCAAUAUCCAAAUCAGCCCCUUCGUCAGGAAGAUUUGCACGAACAACAAAAUCCUCCUCCAAGUCCUCAAUAUCAGAACCAAACCGCGAUAAAUCACUGUCAUCAAGUAAUGCAGCCACUUCAGGAUCCAAUACUUUCUGUAUCCUGACGCCAACAGUCCUAGAGGCCACAUUAUAAAUCGACUUAUCAUUGGUAUCAUCACUUUUCACCUCGGAUACUCGCACUUUCGAAGCAUCAUAUGCCUUGACAUCGCGAGGAAGCUGAUCGGGAGUAGCUUUGGGAUUUUGAUAAAAAUAAGAGCCACCACCAGUGUUCUUAAUCUCCCUUAAAUGAAGCAAAUAAUUAUAGCCAUCAUCAGGAAAACCUAGCUCUAAAAUUUCCUUCCUCACAUGCUCAGGCAAAGGCCCAGACUCCGACACGGAAGCUUCACCACAUCCCCCUCCAAACUUGAUCGAACUGCCAAAAAGUCUACCAUUACCAUCUCCACCCUCAUCGGGAUCGUCAGGCGCAUCGGCGAAGAUGGAAGUAAAAUCUUCAUCGUCGUGAACAUUAGCGGAGAUACCGUCAGGGUUAUCUCCGUCGAAGAAGGUGUCGACAGAAUAGGGAUUAUUGUCUACUCGGACGAAUAUCCGGUCACCGCCCGGUGUUUCGGCGUAACUGGGAUCUGAUGAGUCGCGGGCGAGUAAUUGGAAAGUUGCGGAUUUCUUCUUGUCGAUAAAUUUCUUCGUCUUGCCCAUUGUCUGAGCUUAGUUAAUAAG